GUAGCGGAAGUUCGUACGGACCGGGUGAAGUUACUUCCGCUUAACUAGUUGUUUGUUUGCUUAUUUAGAAAACGAGGUGAAUUGAAAACACCAUCCAUAUGAGAGUUCAUGAGUCACAAAAUUAUUUUAGAAAGCUCCGCUGAUUUGUUCUCAUAUCGUAGUUUAGCGUGUCGUAGUUUUAUCGUAGUCACCUUAGCAUUCUCACCGAAAGUGGUUGCUGCAAUUCAGAUCACUGAUGAAAAUGCAGUUCAGAUCACUGAUCACUGAUUUGGAAACACGAUUGGUAUAAUAUUUAUUUUCAUAAGAAAAAUACGCCAAUCAGGUUCUCUUUUUCUGUUAACUGCAUUUAUAGGUGCGAUAACUGCUGGCAACGAGAACCUGAUUGGUGAGUUUAUUCAGAGGAAUUAUUUUUCACUUGUUCACAUGCGAAAAAUUUGUAAGCAGUGAAAAUAGGCUUUUAGCAGUGAAAAUAUCCAUGAAACAGGCGGGAUUAACUUUUAAUUUCUGGCAACAACUAGUACUUGCUCGUUUCUUGAAAGAAAAAAAAGAAUUUUUAACCCUGUUCCUCUUAUAACUGAAUUAAUAAUGUUCGCUCCUCCACAGUCAAGACCUCGACCACAACCGGGAGUUUUUAAUUUCAUUAAAUCAUUUUAUGUUGAUCCAAUGAAAUGGUAAGUGCUCUUUCAUAGAAUUUUCUCUCAUAUAGUCUAAUGUGUUGUUCCUAGAUAAACCAAUGUCUUCAUACAUUAUAUUUAUUUAAACCGAAAGGCGGGAAUAUUUCUGCAUCGUGAUCUGUUGCAUCAACUACAGUCACCAAGACGCCAAAUGGAUUUUAAACUUGAAUUUUUUUAAUCAAAUUGUGAAGUUUCCACCGGGAGUGGCCUAUGAGUUAUACUCUUCGAGUUGGUGCCUUCUGUAAUGAUUUUUAAUUUCACGCGGUCCUCUGCUCGGAAUUUGUACCAGUGCUAUGUGCAAUCAAUUCUUGAAGUUGACAAUUUAAAUUGUAUUUGUUUAUGAGAUAUAGUAAAAAAAAAAAUUAAAAAUCGUUUAUAAACAUCUAAAAACUUCAAUUUUAAGGGAAAGUUGCGCAAUGCAGCAGAAAUUCCACAAGAAAAUUGAAACCUAUAACAAAUUGUAGACGAAGAAAACAAUAAAAAAUAUAAAAAUGACGACCGAAGCUGACGUCGUCAUAAAAAUACAAAACCUAUUCUUCCAGAGAACACACCAAAUGUCUAAAAUUUGCUCUCUGUAUUCCAAAG